rnacentral:rRNA from 1 species
AGCAGCCGCGGUAAUUCCAGCUCCAAUAGCGUAUAUUAAAGUUGUUGCAGUUAAAAAGCUCGUAGUUGAAUUUCGGGAUCAGUAGGUCGGUCAUGCCUAUGGUAUGCACUGGCUUUACUGAUUCCUCCUUCUUGAUGAACUGUAAUGUCAUUAAUUUGGUGUUGCAUGGAAUCAGGACUGUUACUUUGAAAAAAUUGAGUGUUUAAAGCAGGCAUACGCUUGAAUACAUUAGCAUGGAAUAAUGAAAUAGGACGAUCGAUCCUAUUUUGUUGGUUUCUAGGAUUGACGUAAUGAUUAAUAGGGAUAGUUGGGGGCAUUAGUAUUCAAUUGUCAGAGGUGAAAUUCUUGGAUUUAUUGAAGACUAACUACUGCGAAAGCUAUUUGCCAAGGAUGUUUUCAUUAAUCAAGAACGAAAGUUAGGGGAUCGAAGACGAUCAGAUACCGUCGUAGUCUUAACCAUAAACUAUGCCGACUAGGGAUCGGAUGAUGUUAUUUU